ACGACGUAACAUUGGUCUAGCUGGAAUAAAUAAUUUUGAUUUUUGAACACCUUCAGAUCAGAUCUGCCGUAUAAUUGAGUGCCAGCAGAUGCAAGGGACAAAAUUAACCAGCGUGGACCAGGCAAUUGCUAGCAGAAAUCGCAAUAUUACGGAAAUAUCGGCGUGCGACAACGCUUGAACGUAUAGUAGUUAUAGUUCUACUGCUGAACAGUAACAGUUCGCUCGUUGUUUAUUUGUUCAGUUGAGUUGACAAAAACGCGCGCGUGGUGUGUACCUGCGAAUGUGUGUAAUGUAAGUGUUUAAUGGUUUUUUUUGGUGGAUUACGUGAAUGGUAAUCAUAUCCACUAUACGCACAUUGAAAACUGUCCAAGUAUUUGAAAAUUAUUAGAAGAGUAUCAGAAGAGGGAAAAACCUGAAACGACCGCAAUGUGUAAAUAUCUUACAACAGACUAAACGAGCAUAAAUCUGAAAUAUGUUAUCCAGACAUUAGGAAAGAAUACUUACUCCGAGGACAUUCUUCUGGAUCCCUUUCUUCUAACAGUGGUGUUCCGUCGCUUAGUUAACCACCAGAAG